rnacentral:rRNA from 1 species
CAGCAGCCGCGGUAAUACGUAGGUCCCGAGCGUUGUCCGGAUUUAUUGGGCGUAAAGCGAGCGCAGGCGGUUAGAUAAGUCUGAAGUUAAAGGCUGUGGCUUAACCAUAGUACGCUUUGGAAACUGUUUAACUUGAGUGCAAGAGGGGAGAGUGGAAUUCCAUGUGUAGCGGUGAAAUGCGUAGAUAUAUGGAGGAACACCGGUGGCGAAAGCGGCUCUCUGGCUUGUAACUGACGCUGAGGCUCGAAAGCGUGGGGAGCAAACAGGAUUAGAUACCCGUGUAGUCCCUGUCUCUUAUACA